AUGAAGGCACCGUACAAGGCGGCGACGGCAUACCCGCUCAAUACCUGCAGCCCCCUAGUCCGGACAGGAAAAGAUGCUGAGCUUCUCGGCCUCGACGACGUCCUCGUGCCUCUCUCUAAAAUGGCAGAUCUGUUUGUUUCUCUGGUGGGACUGCAGUUCUUCCGAAGCUUUGCUUUUCGCUCGGCAAGAAACGCGGCAGCUGACGGGAGGAUGUACCGAGGCCUGCGGCGGACUCAGCAGGAUGGAAAGCAGCGAGCAACGGUGCAUAGUUCACGGAAGCCUGCUGUUUCUCCUCGCCAAGACCUAAGAUAG
rnacentral:rRNA from 1 species